GGCUGGUUAGCUUAGUUGGUUAGAGCACGGUGCUGAUAACACCAAGGUCAAGGGUUCAAAUCCCCCUACUGGCCA